rnacentral:tRNA from 1 species
UCCUCGAUAGCUCAGUGGUAGAGCGUUCGGCUGUUAACCGAAAUGUCGUAGGUUCGAGCCCUACUCGGGGAGC